CAGGUUGCCACAUGGGGCUUGGAAGAACUGACUGUCUUGUUAGGGUGCGGUUGGAUAUCAGACCUCAGGUUGCACUCUAAGAUAAAACAGUGUUACUUGCUCACACAUUACACGAUUGACCUCUUACCAUGAGUGAGGACUGCUCUGGCCAGAAAGGGAAUCAGAAGAGUCCUGGUACAAAAAAAAGUCCAUCUAGAGAGCUGCAAUUAUGAAGUUAAUGGAGUAGUCAAAUACUACAACGUUGAAUGUACCCAAGAACCUGCAAACCUAUGCUGUCUGCCUAAGCAAUCUGCAUUAUGUGCUGGCAGCUAUGGCUCCUGUGGAAUUUAUGUUCUGAGCACUGAGGAAGAGCAUCUCCCCCUGAAGUCAUCUAGCACUGAUUUCACAUUCUGGCUAUCCUGGAACAUGUCCUCUUGUGUUUCGAUUUCCACGAGAAUUGCAGGAAAGGAGUUCUUGUAAUAGCUGCUCUUGCUUAUGCCUGUAGGAGUGGGAAGGAGGACAUCAACUGGUAGCAUAAGCCCAGACACCUGAGUACCAUACCAUUCUCCUCUGAGAUUCUGG
rnacentral:lncRNA from 1 species